CUCCGUAAUUCGAAUGAGUACAAUCUAAAUCCUUUAACGAGGACCAAUUGGAGGGCAAGUCUGGUGCCAGCAGCCGCGGUAACUCCAGCUCCAAAAGCGUAUAUUAAAGUUGCUGCAGUUAAAAAGCUCGUAGUUGGAUCUGGGUCGCGCGUUCACAUGUCGUUGCUUGGUUCUGAUUUCGGUCAGUUUCAGGUUAUGAUAAAGUGGUCGUGCAGCCUUUCAGCCGUGUCUGCGUAAGCAGGUGUUGGCUGGCCAGUGGGCUUGCUUGCUGGUCAGUUGGCAUGUUUCCUGAUGCCUUUAAACGGGUGUCGGGGGCGUACGGCACUUUUACUUUGAACAAAUUUGAGUGCUCAAAGCAGGCCCAUGUGCCUGAAAAGUCUUGCAUGGAAUAAUGGAAUAGGACUUCGGUUCUAUUUUGUUGGUUUCCGGAUCCGAAGUAAUGGUUAAGAGGAACAGACGGGGGCAUUUGUAUGGCGGCGUGAGAGGUGAAAUUCUAUGAUCGUCGCCAGACAAACUACAGCGAAAG
rnacentral:rRNA from 1 species